rnacentral:misc_RNA from 1 species
UCUCCGUUGGUGAACCAGCGGAGGGAUCAUUACCGAGUUUACAACUCCCAAACCCCUGUGAACAUACCAUUUGUUGCCUCGGCGGUGCCUGCUUCGGCAGCCCGCCAGAGGACCCAAACCCUUGAUUUUAUACAGUAUCUUCUGAGUAAAUGAUUAAAUAAAUCAAAACUUUCUACAACGGAUCUCUUGGUUCUG